rnacentral:tRNA from 1 species
GGGAUGGUGGUAUAGUGGUUAGCAUAGUUGCCUUCCAAAAUAAGUGACCCGAGAUCGAUUCUCGGCUAUCGCA